UUUAUUGGAGAGUUUGAUCCUGGCUCAGGAUGAACGCUGGCGGCGUGCCUAAUACAUGCAAGUCGAGCGAAU
rnacentral:rRNA from 3 species